rnacentral:tRNA from 1 species
AAGUGUGAAGCAAUAAUUUGCAAUUAGUUUCGACCUAAUAAUAAGGUAUACUAUUAUACCCUCCUUAUU